ACAGGUCCGAUGACCAUGGAUGAAGUGCUGGCUAUCCAAAGUCAGGACACGGGAUGGACCGCUCGCCUGUGCAUCAGUUAGGAACAUCUCUGCGCUGCUGACCUUUCUCCGCUCGGGUCUCAGAGGACUUUCAACGCCAACCAGUCUGGCGCCUGUGAAAUAAAACUUCUAAAACAAGUGUCAA